GCGAACCUGCGAAGGCAAGCGGAUCUCUUAAAGCCGUUCUCAGUUCGGACUGUAGGCUGCAACUCGCCUACACGAAGCUGGAAUCGCUAGUAAUCGCGGAUCAGCACGCCGCGGUGAAUACGUUCCCGGGCCUUGUACACACCGCCCGUCACACCAUGAGAGUCUGUAACACCCAAAGCCGGUGGGAUAACCUUCAUAGGAGUCAGCCGUCUAAGGUAGGACAGAUGAUUAGGGUGAAGUCGUAACAAGGUAGC
rnacentral:rRNA from 1 species